rnacentral:rRNA from 1 species
GAGGAAUGUAUAGCAAUAGCUACUUGUAUCAUUGUAAUGAUGUUGCAAGAUCGACUAUGUUGAAUAAAAUUCUAGGUAGAAUUAUGAUAAUGACAUUAUCUGCCUAUGUGUCUUGACCAAAUUACGUGCCAGCAGUCGCGGUAAUACGUAGAAGACUAGUGUUAUUCAUGUUUAAUCGGUUUAAAGGGUACCUAGACGGUAAAUCAAGCUUUCAAAAAACAGAUCUAAAGAAAAAAUAAACAAUAUAAGAAUGACCAACUAAGCUGAUUAAAAGGACUAAUUUACUAGAGUUACAUAUGGGGGGGCAUUAAAGUACUGUUGGUGUAGAGAUGAAAUUCUGUCAUACCUAUUCCGUAUAGGGGACAUAUGGCACAGGUAUAGGCGAAGGCAUCCCCUUUUAUGAUAACUGACGUUGAGGGACGAAGGCUUUAUAUAACGAACAGGAUUAGAUACCCUAGUAGUCGAAGCAGAAAAUGAUGAAUGUCAUAGAUUAGAUGUAUAAGUUUAUUCUAUAAAUGAAAGUGUAAGCAUUCCACCUCAAGAGUAAUUUGGCAACAUUGGAACUGAAAUCAUUAGACCGUAUCUGAAACCAGUAGUGAAGUAUGUUGUUUAAUUUGAUAAUCCGCAAAAAACCUUACCACAAUUUGAAUAUUUAUAAUUAUAUUGUCUUUUUUUAGGCAAUACAUUGUAUUUACAAGCGUUGCACGGCUGUCUUCAGUUAAUGUCGUGAGAUUUUGGUUAGUUCCAUAAAAUUAACGUAAACCCUUACUUUAUUUUUAUAUAGAGUAGUUCCCCACUAGAUUGGAUAUGAUAACAGGGACUAAGACAAU